UACGUAGGGUGCUAGCGUUGUCCGGAUUUAUUGGGCGUAAAGGGCUCGUAGGCGGCGUGUCGCGUCGGGGAGUGAAAGCCCGCUGCUUAACGGCGGGUUGGCUUCCGGUACGGGCAUCGCUGGAGUGCGGCAGGGGAGACUGGAAUUCCUGGUGUAGCGGUGGAAUGCGCAGAUAUCAGGAGGAACACCAGUAGCGAAGGCGGUGGUCUGGGCCGGUACUGACGCUGAUGAGCGAAAGCGUGGGGAGCGAACAGG
rnacentral:rRNA from 1 species